CAGGGAGACAACAAAAUGUUAAAUAUUAAUUUUGUCACCUUAGGUCGAUCGGUAUCUCAGGUUCUUAAUUAUUUUAAGAAUUUCAUUUCCUAAGUUUUUUCUAGGUCACACCCAUUACUUUCCCUGGGCCAUUAGCUCAGGUGGUUAGAGCGCACCCCUGAUAAGGGUGAGGUCCCUGGUUCAAGUCCAGGAUGGCCCAUAUCUCUAUGUUGGGGGUAUAGCUCAGUUGGUAGAGCGCCUGCUUUGCAAGCAGGAUGUCAGCGGUUCGAGUCCGCUUACCUCCACUGAUUACCACCUCUUCCAUAAAUUUAAAGAAGGGAAUAGUUUAUGAGUAUUGAUUUAGUUCUGAACGAAUCUAGCUUCCUAAUAAUUAAAUUAAGAUGCUGGACUCAUUGAAUUUUUUUCAUUGUUUUCAGAGAACCUUGACAACUGCAUAGAUUAUUUUUAAAGACAAUAAGCAUCUUUAUUGAUGCAGAUUGAUUAUUUGUGCUAAUGCAUUAAUAACAAUUCUAUUGAGCUGAUGCUUCAAUUUUUUGAAGUUAUU
rnacentral:tRNA from 1 species